UCUCAUUUUAUUUUUUAUAUUAAAAAAUAAUAAGGGCCCAAGCGAGAAAGAAGAGAGAGAGAGACGAGGGGCUCUCGUAUCUCUUUCCUCAUCACCCACACCCCACAUCUGAUUGGAUAGUCUGGGCUGGGCAUGAACGAAAACGGCCCAGCCCAUCCUCCGGUCCUUCCCCGGUUUGGCCGCUCGCCCGCUGGCUCCCGGUCCUUCGAAUUGGUCGAUGAUUUGGAUUGGAAGAUCGGAUCAGAAUCAAACCUAUCCAAUAUUGCAAUCCAAGUUCAGUUCAACAGAUCGAGGAUUCAGCCAGGAAUUUGAGGCAGCAGAAACAGAGGACAGGAACAUCGAUCGAUCCAUGGCCGCGACGCACGUCCUGCACAGCUUCUGGCGACGCCACCGGUGGACGGUCCUGCGCUCCCUGCUCCUUGUCGCUCUGCUCCACCGUCUCCAUCUCUUGGCCUUCCUCGCCGCCUCCUCGCCCGUCUGGCUGCUCACCGCCUUCCUUCUCGGCGCAGUCCUCGUCAACAGCGAACCCAACGUCCCCCUCGCGGUCGCGGCGGCAUUAGAGGAUCAUGAGGGCCGCCACCUCACCACCGCCGGCACGGGGCCCAGCUCCAGCUCCAGCUCCUCGGACGACGGCGCCAACGAAUCCGAGGAGGACGUGGAUGAGGACCACCUCGUCGUCGACAAAAAGGAGGCCGUUGCCUGGACGGCGGACGACGAGCAUAGCAUCCAGAGCAUCGGGUCGCUGGAGCUGGAGAGGAACGCCAGGCUGGAGAAGCUCAUGUCCAGGAUAACUGUCCAUCGGGGCCUCACCGACCUCGAUGUCCACACCCCCGCCGUGCUGGCGCCCAGGACCAAGAACCCCUUCGACCUCGACCUCGACCACGACGCAGCUAUGGACGCCCCCGGCUCCGCCCCGUCGUCCUUGCUCGGCCAGCACACCAACCCAUUCGACAUCCACAUCCAGCAACCGGACGAGGUGGAGGAGGAGGACGACGACAAGAAAGCGGCAAUGCUGGUGGGACGGCACGACAGCUUCACGGCCCAGCCAUCGCGCUUCAUGCCCUACUUUGUCGCCGACGUCCCGGAGGAAGAAGGCGGCGGCGGCAGCGGCAGGGACGCCGGCAGCGACAACUCCAACUCCAACUCCUCCAGCCCGUCAGCCUCUACGGCCAGCGAUCACCAGACUCAACAAGAAGCCGCAGUCAAAGUAGAAGAAGCACCUGCGGCAAUGGCAUCGACGUGGGACGGCAAGGGGAACGGGACGGUGGUGGCGGUGGACGUGGAGCUCAUCAGUGAUUCCUCUGACGACGACAUGUCGCUGCAGGCUGACGAUGCCACCGGCGGCAGCCUGAACAAUGCCCAUGAUCCCUCGGACGAGGACGAGGAGGACUCGUUCGAGGUGGAGAGCAUCACGCAGCAAGUAGCUGCAGCCAAGCAGCAGCUGCAGCCCGUGUCGCCUCCGUCAGAGCAGGGGCACCGGGACGAAGAAGACAAAGAGGUCGCGAGCAUCGUCAGCGGCCGCAACGAGUGGGUGCCGCUCACUACGUUGGUGUCAGUGGAAGAGAAGGAGAAGGGGGAGAGGGGGCUCACAGAGAACAGGGAGCACCAUAUAUUGGGCGCUGUUCCGGCCAUCGACGCCUCCGCUGGUGCUCGAGUUGGAGCUGCAGGUGCAGUGGUCGCAGCCGCACCAACACCACCGGCAACAGAUGUUGCUUCAGGACCACCACCUGUAACGGCAGCAGCACCAACACCGCGGCCAACUACUGUGGCGCCACCAACCCCACCGGCAACAGAUGCUGCUGCAGGACCACCACCUGUAGCAGCAGCACCACCACCACCGGCAACAGAUGUUGCUUCAGGACCACCACCUGUAGCAGCAGCACCACCACCGCGGCCAACUACUGUGGCGGCACCACCACCACCGGCAACAGAUGUUGCUUCAGGACCACCACAACCGGCAGCAGCAGCACCACCACGGCCAACUGCCGCGGUAGCAUCAGCACCACCAUCAGGGAAGCUGAGCAGCAAAUCCAAGGUGGCCUCCAAGAAGAUAGACCCCAAGAAGGCUGUCUUCGGCUUCUUCCGAAAAUAGUGAAUGCUUCUCUAUUCCUUUGUUUGUUUUUUAUUUCUUUAUUUACUGACACGCCUCUCAGGCUUGUACUCUACACGAACAAAGAGCAGUUUCCAUGUAUAUAGGUGGUAUAGCCAAACAACCCAAUAAAUAGAUCAAUUAAAGGGCAAACAAUUCUACAAAAAGGUAAAUGUAAGACAUUUUGUUUUUUUUCUAUAUAUAUUACUUUUACUAAGCAUCUAGACAUAGUCACAUAGUGUAUAUAUAUCCAAGUACACAGCAAAAGACAUUAUAACUUGGAAUGGAGGGAGUACUUACCAGUAAAAGGUUAGUAGUUGGACGAUUGGCUGCAACUGCAUCUACAAGAUUCAGAUUCUUACCACUAAGCAGAGAUGGAAAGCAAUCCCUUACUUAUGUUGGCAGGAUGGAUGAUGCUUUAUGCUUCGAUCUUGGUAUCGGUGACAGAUUUCACACGCAAACCAUCUUAUUCUUAAACCACCCACCACGCAAGUUGAUCCACCCCACACACCUUCAGCUUCAGGCGAUCUCUUUUAUCAAGCAAGCAAACCCCUACCCAUUCAUUGCUCACGCACGCAUUCAAGACCAUGAAGUCCACCUUGCCAUCUAUGUCCUUCCAAUCACCCUGUUUCAAGAUCCAACCGGCUACUCAGCAGAGCCUCUGGCCUCCUCGGCGACAGAGCACGAGGAAACCAGGACUUCCUCUAAAGCUUAUACGUGCAGCAUUAGGACCAGACGCCAAUGGCGGACUCCUCAAUGCUGACCGCAGAGGUGCCACCUUACCAUCUUCGCCCCUGUCAGAUGUAGUUCAGGAGUUUUACUCCUCCCUCAAUGAAAGGAACAGCAAACGGCUCGACAAGUUGAUGGCCCCUGAUUGCAUCAUCGAGGAUACCGCAUAUUAUAAGCCACUGGAUGCUAAGUGUACCCAUAUCUACUUCAAACGACUGAUGGAAUCCAUGGGAGAGAAGGUCAAAUUUGCCAUCGACGAGGUUUGUCAAGGUGCAGGACGGACCGCUGCAGUAAUGUGGCACCUUGAAUGGAAUGGAUACAUCAUCCCCUUUAGCAGGGGCUGCAGCUUCUACAUAUGCUCAGUAAAUGGAGCAGUGCUUCUUAUCAGGAAAAUCCACAUCUUCAAUGAGUCACCACUGAAGCCAGGAAAGUGGGCAUUGGAAAUACUCAACAUUGUUACCAACUUAUUCAACGUGUUCCCCAAACCAGCUGAAGGUUUCCUCAAGGAUCCAGAAGCAGUAGCUCAACCAUUCAUUAACCUCUACAAGUUUUAUGUGGAGCCUUUUAUCAUCCCCUUUCUUGCAUAUUAUACCCACUUUUGGACAUAUGUGGGUCGAGGAUUGAGUAUGGUGCUACACAUCUUGUAUAACCUAUAUAAACGGCUUAUGUAAAGAGCUUAACUGACUGAAAUUCAGAACAAUAAAUUUGCAAAGAUUGGUCUAUUA